rnacentral:lncRNA from 1 species
CGGUUGCUAAGCACAUAGCCUGAGACAAAUGGGAACCAACACGCCUCUUAUCUGCUCGCAUGUGUAUCAGAGUGAGAGGAGGUGCUCGGCGUGGGGAUGGAUGUUGGCGCUAUGUUCUGAAAACUGUUGCACACUGCGUUGACCACCAUUUUGUUGUCCAAACAUCAAGCAGACCGGAGGCGGUAACUGCACGAAUUUUUAGGAAAUUUAGCUCGUGCACAAACUAACACAAAGCGUU